rfam:Schistosoma haematobium scaffold663_16, whole genome shotgun sequence.
AUUCAGCUGACAAAUCCCAAAUAGGAUGAAACACACUUCGUCCUGGAU